rnacentral:rRNA from 1 species
UACGGAGGAUGCAAGCGUUAUCCGGAUUUAUUGGGUUUAAAAGGGUGCGCAGGUUGUUUGAUAAGUCAGUAGUGUAAAGUCUGUCGCUUAACGGUAGGAUUGCCAUUGAUACUGUUGGACUUGAAUAUGGAUGAGGUAGGCGGAAUGUGUAGUGUAGCGGUGAAAUGCAUAGAUAUUACACAGAACACCGAUUGCGAAGGCAUCUCACAAAGCCGUUAUUGACGCUGAGGCACGAAAGUGUGGGGAUCAAACAGGAUUA